rnacentral:rRNA from 1 species
AUUGAACGCUGGCGGCAGGCCUAACACAUGCAAGUCGAACGAGCGGCGGACGGGUGAGUAAUGUCUGGGAAUCUGCCCGAUGGAGGGGGAUAACUACUGGAAACGGUGGCUAAUACCGCAUACUAUCGGAUGUACCCAUAUGGGAUUAGCUAGUAGGUGGGGUAAAGGCUCACCUAGGCGACGAUCCCUAGCUGGUCUGAGAGGAUGAUCAGCCACACUGUGACUGAGACAAGGCCCAGACUCCUACGGGAGGCAGCAGUGGGGAAUAUUGCACAAUGGGCGCAAGCCUGAUGCAGCCAUGCCGCGUGUAUGAAGAAGGCCUUAGGGUUGUAAAGUACUUUCAGCGGGGAGGCGUUACCCGCAGAAGAAGCACCGGCUAACUCCGUGCCAGCAGCCGCGGUAAUUC